CUCCUAAAGUUUAAAUCUUAAACAUAUUUGUCAUACCCGACGUUCACGCACAGCUUAGUUUUCGAUUUAUACUAUGUUGUCAUAAUAAGUUAAACUAUGUUCGAUUUGUACGAGGGUAUUUUAGCCCAGUGUGGAUUGUGUUGAUGUUUUUAUCGCUCGCCAUGUCAGAUCCGUUCGAUCGGUUUUGUUGCUUCAGUUUUGGGAAUUUGAAAUUGAGGAAAUUUCGUAGUUAAAAUGUGUCUUAAUAUUAUCAGGCUGGGCUGAAGUGGAAUGACGAUGCUGCCGCAGCAGCUGCUUUGGGUUCCCAGCCAGCAUCAUUGGUGAAUGUGUGGUCAAAACGAGUUCACGGUAGGAAAAGACUUCCACUGCUGCUUCGAGUGCCGAACCAAAACACGCGGACCGAGCUGGAGGCUGAAUUCUACCAGAACCGGCCGGUUGGAAUUGAUGCCGUUGACGGGAGAAUCAUUCAAAACAAGCAUGUACAUAAGCAACAGAAGGGAAAAAUGGAAAAACUACAACCUGCUGGACUAAACGGAACUGGUGGCGAUGGGAACCGGUUCGACAUCCAAGCUGACGGUUGCUGCAACUGUGGACGACAUAUUUUGUCGGUCGGAGGAGACGUUUAUCGGCAAGAAUAGAAUGGUUUGGAAGCGGAGGAAGCACCAAUUCGGGGAGUAAAACAGUUCUGCGCCGACUUCCGGCAUGGCGUUGGCCAAGAAUCGCGAUCCGAGCAAAGAAGUUUGCUAUGAUUUGUCCAAGGUCAGUCGGAUCUGAACGUGCGCUCGUUGAAUGCUAGCUUGCUAAUUGUUAAUCACAUUAUUUUUUCAAACAAAUAAAUAUUUUUAUAUUUUUGUAUUUUU
rnacentral:lncRNA from 11 species